rnacentral:tRNA from 1 species
AGGAUUGUAGCUCAAUGGUAGAGCACUCACCUAGCACGUGUGAGGGUUCGAUCCUC